CGGAGGUUGCAGCCCUCAGAGUGCUGGAGAAUCCAAAAGACUCAAUAACUGGAAGGUAGGCCUUGAUGUUGUAAAGUGGAGUACCAGGCCUCUGCAUCUCCUCAAACACAUGUCCACGCUUCUGGUUAAGAACACUGUAAAUACCACCAAGUGCCUGCUCAGGGGCUUGAAUCUCAACCAAGUAAACAGGCUCCAGAAGCCUUGGUUUGGCCGUAAGCUGAGAAGCAUAGAAAACCCUCCUGGCAGUCGGAAUGAUUUGACCACCACCUCUGUGGAUAGCAUCAGCAUGGAGAACCACAUCACAGACUUCA
rnacentral:lncRNA from 1 species